CAAAAACACUUUUGUUAUUGUGACACAGUUUGCUACCGGCACAAAAUGUUAUCUUGACAAAACGUUUGUCAAUUUCCUGCAAUUAUUGUUAUAACGACAAAUCAUAGUUUAUUUAACUAUUAAUAUAGUUUAUCUAACUAUUAAUAUUUGUUAUUAUAAUGGUAGAUUGUUAUUUGAACACAUGUGUUGUCAUUUUGUCGAAGUGUUGUUGAUCUCACAUUUAGUGGAAGUUACCGUUCAUUGUCAAAUUAACAUUAAUGUGUGACAAUAACAAAUUAUAAAGUUACAGCUAGAACUCUACUAAAAGAUACGUGCAAGUUUGCAUCACUGAUUUCAACCUACUCAACCUAUACUCGAUUACCCUAGCUCAUAAUAAAUUGUCUACACUGAAACAUCUCAGUUGCCCUGAUGCUUAUAUCUUUGCAUGCUCAUGUUCAAUUGUGUAUGUAGCAAUUGGAGACUUGUGACUGGGCAUGGUAAGUUACAGUGGCAGUGAAGAAGUCAGGAGCCUCCAGAGUCCUUCAGUGCAGUGCAGUGCAGGCAGCCUUCUCUCUAGCCUCCUUCACAAGGCCUGGCCGAAGAGCGGCCUGGGAUCGAGGCUACCUUCUCUCUAGCCUCUAACUCUAGCUAGUCUCGAGGCCAGAUUCUGAUAAGGAGAGUUUGGCCUCGAGACUAUAAUUAUAAGCUGGAACUAUAGGUGUGGCAUGAGGGGGCGUUCAGGAAUAACAGGGCGAGGCCUCAAACAUACUUAGCACAUGGUGCUUGCAGCUGCACCAGACUGCAGCUGCUCAUGCAGCUUUAUACCAUCACUGACUGCAUGCCUGUACCCCUGGCCCUGGCAGUGGGCUACCAUGUUCCAUGUACACCAGCUAGGAUCUAGGAGUCAAGAGUCACCUGCAUCUGCAGCUUGAAAGAAAAGACAAUUGCAAAUUUUCUUAAAGAGUAGAUAGUACCACCAUCUCAAAGAAAAAAGUUAAGUUCCAUUGCAUGCUGUUGGCGCAUGGCAUGUACAUGAUCCCAAAACUCUCUGAAUUCACAGUUUACAAAUCACUGCUAUACCGUAUCGGCGUAUAACUCCACCAUGUACCAGCUUCAAAGAAAAAGGAUUUAAGUUAUGUUGCUCAUUGCUAAAUAAAUGUGUUUACGUGUUUCUUCCAGCUGCAGAUUUUACCGUACCUCGGCCCCACAAUGUGUACCAGCUAGGAGUUUACUUAACCACCUUCAUCGACUUCAAAGAAACGACUUGCAAGUUAUGUCAGAUUCCAUAAAACUAUAUAGCUAGCUAGAGGGCAACUGUCCCUGGUUUCGACCUUCAUCUGUAGCAUACUGAUUUACGAGUUUGUGUCUUCAUGUGUCAGUUACACUGGUUUCGACUGGUCAACUUCGUCCAUGGGGUGAUAGCUAGUAUACUGAUUUACGAGUUUGUGUGUAUGUGUCCUCAUGUGUCAGUUACACUGGUUUCGACUGGUCAACUUCGUCCAUGGGGUGAUAGCUAGCAUACUGAUUUACGAGUUUGUGUGUAUGUGUCCUCACGUGUCAGUUACACUGGUUUCUACUGGUCAACUUCGUCCAUGGGGUGAUAGCUAGCAUUGUAAUUUACCAGUUUGUGUGUAUGUGUCCUCAUGCGUCAGUUACACUGGUUUCGACUGGUCAACUUCGUCCAUGGGGUGAUAGCUAGCAUUGUAAUUUACGAGUUUGUGUGUAUGUGUCCUCAUGCAUCAGUUACACUGGUUUCGACUGGUCAACUUCGUCCAUGGGGUGAUAGCUAGCAUUGUAAUUUACGAGUUUGUGUGUAUGUGUCCUCAUGCGUCAGUUACACUGGUUUCGACUGGUCAACUUCGUCCAUGGGGUGAUAGCUAGCAUUGUAAUUUACGAGUUUGUGUGUAUGUGUCCUCAUGCGUCAGUUACACUGGUUUCGACUGGUCAACUUCGUCCAUGGGGUGAUAGCUAGCAUACUGAUUUACGAUUUUGUGUGUAUGUGUCCUCACGUGUCAGUUACACUGGUUUCGACUGGUCAACUUCGUCCAUGGGGUGAUAGCUAUAGCAUACUGAUUUACGAGUUUGUGUGUAUAUGUGUCCUCACGUGUCAGUUACACUGGUCAACUUCGUCCAUGGGGGUGAUAGCUUAUACUAUUUACAUUUUGCACUACAUAUGUGUUGGUAACUAUAGUGACUUCAAUCUUUUGUUCUGUAGGGGCUUAUUGUGACGAAAAUGAUCUGAGGGAUGUAGCGUUCAUGAAACCAAACGAAACGCCUGCAGUUCACUGUACUGGAAUUUCAAGAAACGCUAAGUGAUGAACACUAAAAACAAUUUACUGACAGAAGAAAUGUAUUGUGCUGCAUGUCAUGUGAUCCAGUGAUCUUAUUCUAUCAUAAACUCA